rnacentral:pre_miRNA from 1 species
AGGAGGAACAGCCCCAGUGGCGGGGCCAGCUCUGGAGCCCUGGAGUCACCUCCUGCAGUAACUCCGGAGCUCUCGGUCUGCAGGGCCUGGAGGCUCUGGGGCGGG